rnacentral:rRNA from 1 species
AGGUCCCAAGGGUUGGGCUGUUCGCCCAUUAAAGUGGCACGCGAGCUGGGUUCAGAACGUCGCAAGACAGUUCGGUCCCUAUCUGUUGUGGGCGCAGGAAUAUUGAGGAGAUCUGUCUCUAGUACGAGAGGACCGGGAUGGACGUACCGCUAGUGUACCAGUUGUGCCGCCAGGUGCAGCGCUGGGUAGCUAUGUACGGCACGGAUAAGCGCUGAAAGCAUCUAAGCGCGAAGCCGUCUCCAAGAUGAGUAUUCCAUUGAGGGUCGUAGAAGAUGACUACGUUGAUAGGUUACAGGUGGAAGCGUAGUGAUGCGUGGAGCCGAGUAAUACUAAUUACCCGAAAGCUUCCUCAAA